AGAGGCACAGCCUGCACCCUCUUUCCUUGUGAGGACCCUCUGUGCUGCCUGACCACCAACUGCCUUCCUCAACUUCCCAGCCCGUACCCAAGUACAAAGAGUCCUCCUGGGUGCCAGGAAGUAGGCCUCAAUGAUUCACUCAAGUCAAAGGAACCAUUCAUGAUGAGCCUUUCCAACACUGCAGCAGGGCCAGUGAGGUAGGCGUUUUGAAAACAAGGGGGCCUCCCAGCUAAGUGCCUGUUCCACCUACGGCAGCCCCCUACCCCAUGCACCCUGAAUUCUGAACAAGACAGAUGGAAAGGCUGGGCCCCGUGACUUAGCAAAGCUGGACUACGAUGGAAGGACUGGUGAGCAGAGAGACUACGGAAAACCGGCCUGGCCUUUCACUCCCCCUUCGGAGAGACCGGGCACUUGCUGCUAGCGGAUGUGUCUCCAUCCCCACAUCCUUCCUUGAUGGGCGUGGAGGCCCUGAGGUCACUCUCCCCACCUUUACCAACGGAAAAAUCGAGACUCAAGCAGAGAUGGAUGCUGGGCCUCGGGCCAAGGCCAUUCAAUCUUAAACGCGGGUCUGGAGCCCUCCAUCCCCUCACCCCGGCUCGGUCCGCGACCGGUCCGCAGUCGUUCUGCGGGAAAGGGUGACCCCUGGUGGUAAAGAGAAGCGUGGCUGCCUGUCCUAAUCCCGAGGACCCACAGACGAAAGGGCGAGGCCUGCAGAACCACCAACGCCGGCUAACUACCAUCUGCUGUUGAUGCAAGGACCUUGCAGAAAUCUGUGGCGCCCUACACAAACGGAAGAUUUUUAAAAUAAUGUACAAACAAGAUGGAAGUUGUUAUUAAAACGAUGAGCUUCUGUUUGAUUUUA